rnacentral:rRNA from 1 species
UACAGAGGUCCCAAGCGUUGUUCGGAUUUACUGGGCGUAAAGGGUGCGUAGGUGGCGAGGUAAGUUCGAUGUGAAAUCUCCGAGCUCAACUCGGAAAUGGCAUUGAAUACUAUCCCGCUUGAGGGUCGGAGGGGAGACUGGAUUCUCGGUGUAGCAGUGAAAUGCGUAGAUAUCGAGAGGAACACCAGUGGCGAAGGCGAGUCUCUGGACGACUCCUGACACUGAGGCACGAAAGCUGGGGGAGCAAACAGG